AUGUUGGCACCGAGAGAGAGAGAGGGAGGGAGAAGGGAGAGAGAGGGAGGGAGGGAGAGAAGCGGGUCUCCCUUCUUCCCCCUUCCCUGCCUCCAACUCCUCCCGCGCACCCUCCCCGCUUCCCCUCCAUCCCUUCUCCUCUCUGACAGGAACCAAGCCUCAGCCGUGGCCGCCGGCAAAGAAAGAGAAAGAAGAACAAAAGCCCAAAACCAGACCCAAUUUUGUUUUUUCCCCGGGGCGGGAAAAGAGAAAAAGCGCCAGGCGACAAAACACCGCACACGUUUCAGCAACAACGGCAAGGAGAGGUUCCUACUCCCGUUGGCUUCGAAGUGCAAUUGAAAGCAAACAGCAGGAUCGGACCUCAACGCAAGACAUUCUGGCUCCUGACUGCUGGAAGCUCCCCAUAAAACGGGGAAGUGGUGGGGAAGUUCGGGCACUGGGUUGUGCUCUCCAUCCUCGUAACACUGCCCUAAUGUGUCCUCUCUUUCUUUCUGAUGUGCAUGUUAACUGUUUGUUUCUGUGUGCCUGAAAGUCGCUCAGCUUUGGCUGCUCUUUUCUAUGUGGUUCCUUCCCCCCCCUCCCCGCUUUAAGGUACUCAAGUGCUUGCCGAGGAACCGUCCCUUGUCAAAUGGCAUUGAAAUGCAACUCAUACCGAAGGAAAUUGUUUCUAACCACUAAGUUUGCUGGGGCCAUUGCUUCAAGAUGGGGUUGAGAAUAGUUAGAUAAGAGAUUCCCUGGGUGGGAGCUAAACAGCAAGCGCUGUGCAUUACUGUGGAUCAGGAAAAAGCAUAGUAGUAAUUAAAAAAAGAAAGAAGGAAGAGGCAAAUGGGGGGCAUGCUUACUCCAUCAAUCUUACUGGCUAGCCAUAAUGGGACAGAUACAAUUCUAAUUUGUUCUUCACACAAUUAGCUUCAGGGAUUUUUAUUCUUGAGCUGAAUCAGCCUGAACAGGUAUUUAGGUCUUCCUUAAGAAAAUACACCAGAGUUAGGUCAUUUUUUUCCCUGUCCUGUGCUUUAGCUUCUGCCUUUUGGGGCAUGUUUGCCAUACACAUCAGAGAAGCAUUCCUACAGAACUGUGUAGUGUCAAGUUUCUUAAAGGCUUUCAAAAGAUAACCUACCCUCAAUUUACUAAUUGCACUUCACUGUUGAUCCUUCUCUCUCUUUCUCUCUCUCUCUCUCACACACACAAACAUACACACAGAGCAAGAGAGCGGAUGGAAUACGGAUUUCUCCAAAUGCCACUCAUAAUCCCAACAGUUGAAAGAUCUUCCAAGUCUGCCUGAAGAACUUGUAAUUUAUCUAUUGGUGACGUUACUUAUGAAUUUUUAUGAACUGAAUCUAGAAUGCUAGGAAAACAAUGAGAAAAUAUAAAUUGUUUCUUCUUUUUCCCCCGGUGCUGGCAAGUUGAACUUCAGUGGAAAGUAACGUUUCUGCAACAUAAGCUCCAACUGAUAAACCAUCAGCUAACAGAAUGGAUGGAUCCACAACAUCAAGAAAAAAACACAAGAUAUAAGCCAAUUAAACUGAUACAUCAGUUUAAAUCCGUCACUUCAACUAAGUUGGACUUUGCAGUGGAAUGUUAGUAAUUCAUCACUAAAUUGGAUGCAGAAGGAAAGGGAAGUGGUGCUGAUGAGAUUGAAAAUUGUUUUGGUAAGUUUCACUGUACAGGGAUAUCCCUCUUUUUCUGCAUUAUUAGCAAAUGAUCAUCAGCAUUUGAAAUCACAUUCAACCUUAUGUGGAAAUCACUAAGUUGCCACUGAUACUUGGAGAAGUUUUGUUACAUUGUGGUAAUAUGAUAAAAUAAAUAUUUUAAUCUAAUCA
ensembl:lncRNA